rnacentral:rRNA from 1 species
GGGACCAUGGGGCACCGNAUCCAGCAUGCCGCGUGAGUGAAGAAGCCUUCGGGUUGUAAAGCUCUUUUGUCAGGGAAGAAACAGCAGCUCUAACACAGUCUGCGAAUGACGGUACCUGAAGAAUAAGCACCGGCUAACUACGUGCCAGCAGCCGCGGUAAUACGUAGGGUGCGAGCGUUAAUCGGAAUUACUGGGCGUAAAGCGCGCGCAGGCGGUUAUACAAGACAGGCGUGAAAUCCCCGGGCUUAACCUGGGAAAAAUGGNCGUCUGUGACUGGUAUAAGGCCUUAAGAGGGUUGGGUUGUCCAGAGGGGGGUGGAAUUCCACGUGUAGCAGUGAAAUGCGUAGAUAUG